AAGAUUACAGAUUACAUCUCCUCAUCUAAAACACGCCAAGUCGCCGAGCCGAAAUUGAAACUCCUAGAAAAAAAACACUAACUUCAAACUUUCUUUUUAAAUAUAAUUUUGGAGAUAUAUAAAAUUCAAAAUCAGAGUCCCAGCUAUUUUUUAUCACCAGUUCUAUUUAUUAAUUCAAAGAAUAAUAUUAUUGAGUGUACUUUUUUAUGUAUGCGCAUGAAUUUUUGAAAUAAUUUUUUUUAUAGAAAAAGGUGCAAGCAUAUUGUAUUAGUUGAAUACAAAUUACAAAUCAAGAAAAUGGCAGAUUCUGAUGAUGAGUACGACAGAAAGCGACGCGACAAAUUCCGCGGAGAAAGAAGUUCGGGUGAUAGUUACAGAUCGGAUCGUCGGGGCGAUGACCGCCGGCGUGAUGAAUGGUCAGACAGAAACCCUUUUAGAAGUGGCAGAGCACGACCAGAUUAUCGUGAUUAUCGAGGACCACGAGAAAAAUAUUCACCUGGCAGAGAACUUCCACCUGCUAAGAGAAUAAGACCGGAUUGGGGAGAAGAUAUUCGGCCGAACCCGCGUUAUGGUGGCUAUGACCAGUAUCUUUUGCACAACUGGAGUCAUGAUCAUUAUCCCAAUCAUGGAUUACAUGGUUACCAUCUUCCUUCAAACGUUCAUCCUCGAGAAGCACCAGCGUCAAUGAACGAUUUACAAACUCAACCAGCAAUGCUCACGCUUAAACAAUUUCUUGACACUCAAGAAGACACCAUAUCCGACUCGGACGUUCUUCGCAAGUAUAGCGAAUAUAAGUUGGAUUUCAAACGUCAACAGCUUAAUGAGUUUUUUAUAACUCACAAAGAUGAAGAAUGGUUCAAAAGCAAAUACCAUCCAACAGAGUCGGUAAAACGUAAAGAGGAGCAAAGAUCAUUUUUAAAAAGACGUGCUGAUGUUUUCAACGAGCUAUUAGAAAAUGGAACAGUUUCUGGUGUAACACUAGAUUCAUCGCAAUCCGAUCAGUUAUUGCGUUUACUUGACACGGUUGUGAUUAAAUUAGAAGGUGGUACAGACGAAGAUCUAAAAGUUUUGGAUGAACCAUUGCCGGAAUUAAAAUAUCCCGAUAAAACCGUUGAAAAUCCAUUUGAAGAAAGUAAUGAAUCUAAAGAAGUGAAACCAAAAGUAGAGGUGCGAAGUUCACCGAAGAGAGUAUCACCACGCCGAGAAAUUCCAACUAAUGACGACGAAGAAAAUUGGGAUGAAGAUGAGGCCGCUGAACCCUCAUCCACUGAUUCCAAGUUUAAUAAAGACAAAGAAAAAAAAAGAUCGCGUUCAGAAUCUAGUAAUUCAUCAUCUUCAAACUCGGGUGACGAAAAUGAUGCUUUUGAUUAUACUAAACCAGAUAGCUCAACAACAGAGAAAGAAAAAAGCAAAAAAGUUGACUCUGCUGACGAGCAGGAAUCUGAAGUCAAACCAGAACUAAAAAAUGAAGCUGAAGAAAAUGAAAAGCCCCAGGAGGCAGUUCCCGACAAUGAAACGAAAACUUUAGAUUCUAAUGAGGAAAAGAAUGAAGUUGAUAAAGAACCGGAAGAGAAAGAACCAGAAAAAACUGAAGACAGCAUUGAAAAAAUAGAAAUUGAUGAUACUACGGAAACAAUUAAUGUGGAAAAAGAAAAAUUUACUCCACAACUGCAGGCGCUCCAUCGCACAAGUUCGAUAUUUUUACGUAAUCUUGCCCCUACCAUAACUAAAGCUGAAAUUGAAGCUAUAUGCCAGCGCUUUGCUGGUUUUUUGCGGGUUGCAAUAGCUGAUCCCUUGGCAGAGCGUCGGUGGUUUCGUAGAGGCUGGGUCACAUUUAAACGGGAUGUUAAUAUCAAGGAAAUUUGUUGGAAUUUAAAUAAUACACGGUUAAGGGAUUGUGAAAUUGGAGCAAUUGUGAACCGAGAUCUAAGUCGAAGAGUAAGGCCGAUUAAUGGAAUAACAGCUCACAAGACCAUUGUGCGAAGUGAUAUAAAAUUGUGUGCCAAAAUCGCUUUGAAUCUGGAUGAAAAAUUCCAUCUAUGGGAUGAAGAGAAAGACAAUGAGAAUUCUAAUGGAAAGGAUUCAUAUGGAUUCAAAUCAAAUAAUCCCGUUAUGCAAAACAUAACAGACUUUCUCAUCGAAGAAGCAUCUGCUGAAGAAGAUGAACUUCUUGGAAUUGCUGUUGAAAAUAAAGAUUCUUCUGAAGGAGAACUUGUGGAAAGAGAGCCACAAAUACUAUCUGUUCUAGAUAAGCUAAUAUUAUAUUUGCGCAUUGUACAUUCAGUUGACUUUUAUAAUCAUUGUGAAUAUCCGUACGAAGACGAAAUGCCUAAUCGUUGUGGAAUAAUCCAUACACGCGGACCAAUCCCACAGAAUAAAGUUUCGAUAAAUGACAUUCAAGAUUACAUUAAAAACUUUGAAAACAAAAUGCAAGCAUUUUUGACGAAGCCAACACCAAUUGAAGAAGAUGAACUUAAGAAUCUUGGGCUUAAAGAUCCAACAACGGAAGUGGAGAAAUUUGUCCAAGCCAACACUCAGGAACUUGCGAAAGAUAAAUGGUUGUGUCCCUUGUCGGGUAAAAAGUUCAAGGGUCCGGAAUUUAUUAGAAAGCACAUUUUUAACAAGCACGGUGAUAAGGUUGAUGAAGUUCGUAAAGAAGUGGAAUACUUUAACAACUACUUGAAAGAUCCGAAGCGGCCGCAACUGCCAGAGCAUUCUGGAACCGCCAGACGCACUAAUUCAGAGUCUUCGGGUCCUCCGGGAUUUCGACCAGGGGGAGGAUAUAUGCCAGCAUCCUAUCAAACUCCAUACAGUGCGUAUGCUCCACCAUUGAUUUUGCCUUCUAGAGGUGGUGGACGAGGAUUUGGUGGUGGCAGAAGAGAAUUGCCAUUGGAACACCAACGUCGGGUAAUAGGUUACCAUGAUCUGGAUGCCCCAACUAAUUUUGACAUAUUUGAUUAAAUGAAUGAAUAAGAAUAAAUGCAAAUAGACAGACAAGAUGUUAUUUUUUGAUUCGAUUUUAUUUGACAAUAAAAUGAAUCCCUAAAAAAAGUUCAUUAUUUGUUAUACCAUUCAACGAUUAUCGGCCAAUUAUUCAAUAUAGAGACUUGGAUGCCCCACGUGAUGCCCUAGAUUAAUUUCAAUGAUGUUUUCUAUUACUUUGAUAUGAACAAAUAAAGUAUUGUGACAAGCUUCGAAGCUUAUAGUAAUC